rnacentral:rRNA from 1 species
CAUAUUAUUAAGCGGAGGAAAAGAAACUAACUAGGAUUCCCUUAGUAGCGGCGAGCGAAGAGGGAAAAGACCGAGAUGAAAAUCCCUUCGGGGAGUUGUAAUCUGAGCAAUGUUGAGUGUUCAGUGAGUGUAAGUCACAUGGAAAUGUGUACCGGGGAGGGUGAAAGUCCCGUCCAACACUCACAGGAAUUUCUCGUACGACAUUGUUUCAACCGAGUCGGGUAGCUUGAGAA